UUAGAGUUGAACAUGUGUUAACUGCAAGGUUAUUUCAAAUCACCAAAACACAUUAAAAUAGCCCCCCAAAUGGCACUUUAUUAACUAGAAUUUAAAAAGUCUACAUUGUACUAUAUUAUACAUGGAUAGCUUGGGAGUCCAAAUAUAUUUUUACAUGCUAACAAACUUUAUUCAAACUAGUGCAGGCCCCUCCUGGGGAUUUCAGUCCCCCUUGAAGGCCUUAAUUAGAAAUUCUGGCUACAUCACUGCUCAAUUCCAUUGCCAAUGAUGGUGUUAGCAUGAUUAGACAGAGUAGGUUAACAAACUAGUGUGUAUUAUGAGAUAAUCCAUUGAACACCAAUGAUCUAUCCCAACAUACAAAAUCAUCUGGUGCAGUGGUGGAUCCAGCAAAGUUUUUUUGGGGGGUGCUAACCAAUGGAGAAACGAGCGCUGAAGGCGCAAGAUUUCUAGUGUGGUCUGGGGGCAUACUACCACGGAAAAUUUUUAAAAUUUGGGUCUCUGAAAUGGCAUUUCCAGCAUUCUGAGAAAACAUUCUGGAAAAUUUUUAGAUUCUCAAAACAUUUAAAAAUUUGGAAUAUUUAAUAUUGGCUAUUCCACUAUUGUCAACUAGUGAUACCCAACUGAAUUCCUUAACAUAAGUUGGUUAGAAUUAGGAUAAACAUCAUUUUUGCACCCCCACCCCCCAUGCACCCCUGUUGACCAGAGCCUGGGGGGGGGGGUGCACACCAGAGUAAAAUAAAAAGUAAGACACAAUGUAUAACUUAAUAGGUAAGGUUAAUGGCCAGAACUAAAUGAUAAACAAUAUUUUAUAAUAAACCCAAAUUAGUUCAGCACCAUUGGUUCUUAUAACACUGUUCAUUCCAAUACUAGAACAUCAGCAAUUAACAAAAGUUGGAGUUUCAUCCGAUGACAUGUAUGCUUCUAACCAUGCUGUCCAUGCAGCUAUCAGACAGUUUUUAAUUUUCAACAUUGAUUCCCAAAGCCAUUAUUCUCAAGAUUUGCCAAAAAGGUUUUCCAAAUAAGUACAGAAUUAUAUUACAUCACUCAUCACUGUUCAUUUUACAUUCUUCAAGUAGAUGCAUGUUUACAGUACAGUAUAUCUUGUG